rnacentral:rRNA from 1 species
GAUGAACGCUGGCGGCGUGCCUAAUACAUGCAAGUCGAGCGAACGGACGAGAAGCUUGCUUUUCUGAUGUUAGCGGCGGACGGGUGAGUAACACGUGGAUAACCUACCUAUAAGACUGGGAUAACUUCGGGAAACCGGAGCUAAUACCGGAUAAUAUUUUGAACCGCAUGGUUCAAAAGUGAAAGACGGUCUUGCUGUCACUUAUAGAUGGAUCCGCGCUGCAUUAGCUAGUUGGUAAGGUAACGGCUUACCAAGGCAACGAUGCAUAGCCGACCUGAGAGGGUGAUCGGCCACACUGGAACUGAGACACGGUCCAGACUCCUACGGGAGGCAGCAGUAGGGAAUCUUCCGCAAUGGGCGAAAGCCUGACGGAGCAACGCCGCGUGAGUGAUGAAGGUCUUCUGAUCGUAAAACUCUGUUAUUAGGGAAGAACAUAUGUGUAAGUAACUGUGCACAUCUUGACGGUACCUAAUCAGAAAGCCACGGCUAACUACGUG